rnacentral:rRNA from 1 species
AUUGAACGCUGGCGGCAGGCCUAACACAUGCAAGUCGAACGAGUGGCGGACGGGUGAGUAAUGUCUGGGAAACUGCCUGAUGGAGGGGGAUAACUACUGGAAACGGUAGCUAAUACCGCAUACCAUCAGAUGUGCCCAGAUGGGAUUAGCUUGUUGGUGGGGUAACGGCUCACCAAGGCGACGAUCCCUAGCUGGUCUGAGAGGAUGACCAGCCACAAUGGAACUGGGACACGGUCCAGACGCCUACGGGAGGGAGCAGGGGGGAAUAUUGCAAAAGGGGCGCAAGGCUGAUGCAGCCAUGCCGGGUGGAUGAAGAAGGCCUUCGGGUUGGAAAGGACUUUCAGCGGGGAGGCGUUACCCGCAGAAGAAGCACCGGCUAACUCCGUGCCAGCAGCCGCGGUAAUAC